rnacentral:rRNA from 1 species
GAUGAACGCUAGCGACAGGCUUAACACAUGCAAGUCGAGGGGCAGCGAGGGCGUAGCAAUACGCCUGUCGGCGACCGGCGCACUGGUGAGUAACACGUAUGCGACCUGCCCCCUACAGGGGUAUAACCCGUAGAAAUGCGGACUAAUCCCCCAUAGUCCUGGAGGCUGCAUGGCUUUCAGGGGAAAGGCCAGCCGGUAGGGGAUGGGCAUGCGGCGCAUUAGCUAGUUGGAGGGGUAACGGCCCACCAAGGCGACGAUCAGUAGCCGGUCUGAGAGGAUGAACGGCCACAUUGGGACUGAGACACGGCCCCAGACUCCUACGGGAGGCAGCAGUGGGGGAUAUUGCACAAUGGGGGAAACCCUGAUGCAGCGACGCCGCGUGAGGGGAAGACGGUCCUCUGGAUUGUAAACCUCUGUCUUCGGGGACGAAACGAGACGGUACCCGAGGAGGAAGCCACGGCUAAC